AGAGUUUGAUCCUGGCUCAGGACGAACGCUGGCGGCGUGCCUAACACAUGCAAGUCGAACGAAGCUCUGCGAUACAAGACUUCGGUCAAGUUGAACGGAUGACUUAGUGGCGGACGGGUGAGUAACGCGUGAGGAACCUGCCUUUCAGUGGGGGACAACAGUUGGAAACGACUGCUAAUACCGCAUAAUGUAUUCUGACCGCAUGAUCGGAAUACCAAAGAUUUAUUGCUGAAAGAUGGCCUCGCGUCUGAUUAGAUAGUUGGUGAGGUAACGGCCCACCAAGUCGACGAUCAGUAGCCGGACUGAGAGGUUGAACGGCCACAUUGGGACUGAGAUACGGCCCAGACUCCUACGGGAGGCAGCAGUGGGGAAUAUUGGGCAAUGGGGGAAACCCUGACCCAGCAACGCCGCGUGAAGGAAGAAGGCUUUCGGGUUGUAAACUUCUUUUACCAGGGACGAAGGACGUGACGGUACCUGGAGAAAAAGCCACGGCUAACUACGUGCCAGCAGCCGCGGUAAUACGUAGGUGGCAAGCGUUGUCCGGAUUUACUGGGUGUAAAGGGCGUGUAGGCGGAGAAGCAAGUCAGAAGUGAAAUCCAUGGGCUUAACCCAUGAACUGCUUUUGAAACUGUUUCCCUUGAGUAUCGGAGAGGCAGGCGGAAUUCCUAGUGUAGCGGUGAAAUGCGUAGAUAUUAGGAGGAACACCAGUGGCGAAGGCGGCCUGCUGGACGACAACUGACGCUGAGGCGCGAAAGCGUGGGGAGCAAACAGGAUUAGAUACCCUGGUAGUCCACGCUGUAAACGAUGAAUACUAGGUGUGGGAGGACUGACCCCUUCCGUGCCGCAGUUAACACAAUAAGUAUUCCACCUGGGGAGUACGAUCGCAAGAUUGAAACUCAAAGGAAUUGACGGGGGCCCGCACAAGCAGUGGAUUAUGUGGUUUA
rnacentral:rRNA from 1 species